AUUGAACGCUGGCGGCAGGCCUAACACAUGCAAGUCGAGCGGAUGAGUGGAGCUUGCUCCAUGAUUCAGCGGCGGACGGGUGAGUAAUGCCUAGGAAUCUGCCUGGUAGUGGGGGACAACGUUUCGAAAGGAACGCUAAUACCGCAUACGUCCUACGGGAGAAAGUGGGGGAUCUUCGGACUCCACGCUAUCAGAUGAGCUUAGGUCGGAUUAGCUAGUUGGCGAGGUAAAGGCUCACCAAGGCGACGAUCCGUAACUGGUCUGAGAGGAUGAUCAGUCACACUGGAACUGAGACACGGUCCAGACUCCUACGGGAGGCAGCAGUGGGGAAUAUUGGACAAUGGGCGAAAGCCUGAUCCAGCCAUGCCGCGUGUGUGAAGAAGGUCUUCGGAUUGUAAAGCACUUUAAGUUGGGAGGAAGGGCAGUAAGUUAAUACCUUGCUGUUUUGACGUUACCAACAGAAUAAGCACCGGCUAACUUCGUGCCAGCCGCCGCGGUAACAC
rnacentral:rRNA from 1 species